rnacentral:rRNA from 1 species
UACAGAGGGUGCAAGCGUUAAUCGGAAUUACUGGGCGUAAAGGGCGCGUAGGUGGUUAUGUAAGUGAGAUGUGAAAUCCCCGGGCUUAACCUGGGAACUGCGUCUUAUACUGCAUGGCUGGAGUACAUGAGAGGGUAGUGGAAUUUCCGGUGUAGCGGUGAAAUGCGUAGAUAUCGGAAGGAACACCAGUGGCGAAGGCGGCUACCUGGCAUGAUACUGACACUGAGGCGCGAGAGCGUGGGGAGCAAACAGG